CAAGAGUGAUCUAUGUGAGAUAUGGAUACUCAAUUUCUUUAUAUUCAUCGACUUUCUCUGGCCGCAAUUGGGUUAUGGCCUUACCAUCGAACAAUGCUUGUUCAACUUCAGUCUUCUGUGUUUUCUCUUACUAUGAUUAGCUAUCUUAUAUUUCAGCUUACAACACUUCUAACUACAGAAUGGACUAUUGACUUUAUUGUUGAAAUCCUUUCUACAUCACUUUUUGUUCUUUUGUGCACAAUUCUUUAUAAUUCUUGUUGGAUUAACACGCAUGUUGUGAAGCGUGUAUUGGACAAUCUUCAGUACAUUUGUAGCGACUUAAAGGACGAAAACGAAAUUGCUAUAAUAAAAAGAUAUGGAUACAUUGCAAAAUGUGUUGCAGUUGCAUACACAUUGUUGACGAUAGGCGGUUUCUUCAGCUUAUCUCUUUUGCCAAUUCUGCCGCGAAUUUUCGGCAUCUUUUCUCUCGUAAAUAAAUCCGAGCUACAUCACAAUAUAUAUAUGAGAACUGAAUAUUUUGUUGAUCAAGAAAAAUAUUUUUAUUUUAUUUUGCUGCAUCUGUACGCAGUUCAGUACAUAGGAGGAGGUAUAUUAUUAGGAGAAUCAAUAGUGAUGGUGGGAUACGGUACAUAUUCUUGUGGAUUAUUUAACAUUGCAAGUUACCGUAUCGAACAGGCAAUGCGGAUAAGUAGUGACGAAGUAACUAAUCGGAAGAACAAGAAAGAGAUCGACAGGAAAAUAAGUCAUGCAGUGAACAUUCAUCGCACAGCUCUUGAGUUUAUUACAUUCUUUCUACAUAGCUUCGAGGGAACAUAUUUUGUUUUAAUAGCGAUUAUUGUAAUUUCUUUGAGCCUCAAUCUGUUUGGAAUUUUUCAAGCCGUUUGUUUAAGUAAGAUGGAAAAUUGUGUAUUACACUUUAGUUUUGCGCUUGGCCUUUUAACAUGUUCAUUAGGAGCCAAUUACAUCGGUCAAGCAAUUACAGAUCACUAUACUUACAUAUUUUCAACUGCAUAUAACGUUCGAUGGUACAUUGCACCUGUACGCGUGCAAAGAUUACUAUUGUUUCUUAUGCAAAAAGGCGCUAAGCCUUAUAGCAUAAAAUUGGGUGGUCUUUGUACACUAUCUUUAGAAAACUUUGCCUCGCUAUCAUCUGUAUCAUUAUCGUAUUUUACUAUUAUAUGUUCCAUCCAAAAGUGAUAUUAAUAUGAAUCAGCUUAAUAUUAUGUUAAGACCAAAUAAACUUGAAGAUUAGGUAUUUCAAACUGCACUGCUUCGAGAUAAAAGGGAGGAAUGCAAAUUUACCAGCAAGUUUUAUGGAAAUCUGUUGCCAAUCUGUUAGCAUACUGCUCGCAUUGUGCUUACUGGGAAGCAGUCGAUCAUAUUGGGUUGUAAUAUAAAUAAGUUUGGUUGCAAGUAUAAACAUGUUCUAAUUCUAAGACUUAUGACUCAUUGCGAAUGCAUAUAACUCUGAUUAACGAGAAACCACAUGUAAUCAUUUUAAACUCAGUACUGCUACAGUUUACAAUUUAUUGAAGUUUAAUAUUUAAAUAUCCUUAAAAUUGAAAACUUAGACAUGUUCGGCAAAUAAUGCUGUGGGAAUUCAAACAAGGUAAUUCUGCUGAUAAAGACACAGCUCGAAAAAUGGUAAAUGUUUCGAAUAGGAGAGGCUCCUCUAGUGAUCUCUACCGUGAUCUAUAUUACAAAGAUCACUUCCCUGAGUAACUUGGAGAAAGUUUUAACUGUCGCUCGUUGUUUAUUAAAACGUUAUUAAAAACCGUUUAAUGAUGUUGCACGAGUUUUCAGCUGUCCACGCGAAAAGAAAAGUUACAGGUUGAGUUAGGGUUGGGUAGGUUAGGUUUUUGAGGGGAGAAGGCAGGCGUUAUCUCUUCUUGGCGAAGCUCCUUUUUACUAUUCACCCACAUUUCUAUUCAGAUAUACAGGGUGUUAAUUUUCCACCGCCCACUAAGCACACAGUGUUAUUCCUUAUGAAAAGUUGAGUCGAAAAGUCCUGAACUAUUUUUCUCUACGAUAUUUAAUGACAGAGUUAUUGUUAAAUAAAUACCAGCGAAUUAAUGUCGUUCUAGAAGUAUACGCUGUGAGUCACACAGACUGUCUUAACAGCAUGAACGCAGCGGCGAAGUACUCACACACAUUACCAGGCUCACUGACGUACGCUCGGCUAAAGGUCGGCGCUGAUUGGAUUGAUUUUACUCAACAAUUACUACUUUAUUACGCAUUAUAGAGAAAAAUAGUUCAGGACCUUUCGACUCAAUUUUCCAUAAGGAAUAACACUAUGUACUUAGUGGGCGGUGGAAAAUUAACAUCUUGUAUAAAUCUCUUAUAGAUUUGCAGAUCUGUGUAAACAAUAAUUUUCAUUAUUGUUUGCCCUCCCUUGUGAAGUAUAAGCUCUGUCCCUCCCCUUACACUCCCUCCCCACAAAAAUCUAACCUAAUCUAACUCAACUCGUAACUCUUUCUUCCUCUUAAAAUUCGUGCAUUUCACUCAUUAUCUUGCAGAAUUUAUGUUCAAAGGACAAUACAAUUAUGAUGAACGCAUUGAUAUACUUUUCAACAGAAUGUGUUCAAUAUAUCCAUUAGAGAUUUAUUACAGUACUGAAUAAAAUUUCCCUUAUUUUGCACAAUAAUUAUAUAUAUAAUAUAAUAAAAAUUCGAUGUAUAUUUAUUGUAUUAAUGCACUGCCUCUGAGUGAAGAUUCCUCACCCCAAACAUGUACACUCUGUUACGAAUAAUACUAAAAGAAUAAGUUUCUGUAACUUCUUUAAAUUCUUAAAUUAUUUUCUAUAUUAUACAAACGUCUUUCACUUAUAACUUUUUAAUAAACAACGAGCUACGGUUAAAACGUUUCAAAGGUACUCAGGACAAUGUUUUUGACAACAUAUGUCAAGGUCAAGGCCAUUGGAGGAAUUUCUCCUAUUCGCAACUUUUACCAAACAUUUUAUAGUUGGAAUGAUCAGUUUUGUUGCAUUCAUCGUACUCUACAGAUCUUGCACCACCUGAUUACACAUACUUAUUUCGUUUAUAGUAAAACACAUUAAAUGGGAAAAAAUUUAAUAAUGAUGAAGAAGUCAAACUUUAUACAAAACUGUUUUCAAUCAAAAGAUGAAACCUUCUAUUCUAGUAUUGACCAAUUGCCUUUCAAAUGGAAAACUGUCAUAAAUAAUAAUGGAGAUUAUAUAAUUGAUUGAAUGGCUGGGGUAGCAUUUUGUCGCAGCGAAUAUAAUUUAUUCCUAUUGAUUUAUAUUGAUUCUAAUUGGAACAAUUAUUGUAUUUUAAAGUUUAACAAAUCCCAUUAGCGCACAGUUGCUUCGGUUAGAAAGUUUCAUGUCUGAACAUCGACAUUUGCCAGGUUUGAUCCACUAAACUAUAAGUAAUUUUUAUGACUGACUGGCGAUUUAAUACUUUAUAUAGUAACAACAAAUUUUAAAUAUAAUCGAACUUAUUUAUAUACAACCUAAUAAAAAGCAAGGAUGCGUAUUUAUUGGACAGUGUCCUAUCCAUCAGACAACUUAAGUCAUAAGCCUAUUAUAACUGAUGUAUCCCGAACACCCAAGUUAUUAAGUAUCCGUUUAUUGCUGACACCCUGUAUUAACUUUGAAAAUAUAUCGCAAUACUGUUCACAUUGUAA